CCACCCGAUCCCAUCCCGAACUCGGACGUGAAAACCCCCUGCGCCAAUGGUACUUUGUCUUAAGACAUGGGAGAGUAGGUCGCUGCCAGGU
rfam:Magnetospirillum sp. 64-120 scnpilot_p_inoc_scaffold_231, whole genome shotgun sequence.